rnacentral:rRNA from 1 species
CCUACGGGGGGCAGCAGUGAGGAAUAUUGGUCAAUGGACGAGAGUCUGAACCAGCCAAGUAGCGUGAAGGAUGACUGCCCUAUGGGUUGUAAACUUCUUUUAUAUGGGAAUAAAAUGUUCCACGUGUGGGAUUUUGUAUGUACCAUAUGAAUAAGGAUCGGCUAACUCCGUGCCAGCAGCCGCGGUAAUACGGAGGAUCCGAGCGUUAUCCGGAUUUAUUGGGUUUAAAGGGAGCGUAGGUGGAUUGUUAAGUCAGUUGUGAAAGUUUGCGGCUCAACCGUAAAAUUGCAGUUGAAACUGGCAGUCUUGAGUACAGUAGAGGUGGGCGGAAUUCGUGGUGUAGCGGUGAAAUGCUUAGAUAUCACGAAGAACUCCGAUUGCGAAGGCAGUUCACUGGACUGCAACUGACACUGAGGCUCGAAAGUGUGGGUAUCAAACAUGAUUAGAUACCCUUGUAGUC